rnacentral:lncRNA from 1 species
CGCUAGGUGGCGAACCUGGCUGUGAUCUCUGAGUGCUGGUGGUUUCUAGCUAUUGCCAGCUGUUGGCUGCUCUGCUGGGAGAUGGCGCUUCCCUGGGAUUAUCUUCCAGGAGUCGAGAUCCAAUUCUGUGGAGCAUCCUCCAAGCGUCAAGUGUCCUCCAUGGGUCUUGCCUCAGCACGUGCGUUUGUCUCAGCUGACAUCACUCUGCCAAUCAGCCCAAGUCUGAGGAAGGGACAAGAAACUGCAGUACACCACCAGAAGUUUUUUUGGUGCAUUCUCUCUAUGGAGUCCUAACAAAUGCAGCUCAACUAUGCAAUGUAAGGCAGACCAAUACAUGUGUGUUGUUAGCAAAGAAUCCUUCAUCGCGUGUCCUUUCAUGUGCUUGCUUUAGCAGAACAUCCUUUCUCCUGUGUCUGCUUCAGCUAAAUGCUCCCUCAUGAGUCUGUCUUAGCCUUUCACCUGUGUCCACUUCAGGAAAACACUCCUUCACGUGUUUGCCCCAGCAAA